rnacentral:tRNA from 1 species
GGUUCCUUAGUGAAAGAGGAGUAUCACGCCACCCUGUCACGGUGGUAUUAUGGGUUCGAUUCCCAUAGGAACCGCCA